GAUGAACGCUGGCGGCGUGCCUAAUACAUGCAAGUCGAGCGAACAGACGAGGAGCUUGCUCCUCUGACGUUGGCGGCGGACGGGUGAGUAACGCGUGGAUAACCUACCUAUAAGACUGGGAUAACUUCGGGAAACCGGAGCUAAUACCGGAUAAUAUAUUGAACCGCAUGGUUCAAUAGUGAAAGACGGUUUUGCUGUCACUUAUAGAUGGAUCCGCGCCGCAUUAGCUAGUUGGUAAGGUAACGGCUUACCAAGGCGACGAUGCGUAGCCGACCUGAGAGGGUGAUCGGCCACACUGGAACUGAGACACGGUCCAGACUCCUACGGGAGGCAGCAGUAGGGAAUCUUCCGCAAUGGGCGAAAGCCUGACGGAGCAACGCCGCGUGAGUGAUGAAGGUCUUCGGAUCGUAAAACUCUGUUAUUAGGGAAGAACAAAUGUGUAAGUAACUUUGCACGUCUUGACGGUACCUAAUCAGAAAGCCACGGCUAACUACGUG
rnacentral:rRNA from 1 species